ensembl:snRNA U6 U6 spliceosomal RNA
GUCCUCGCGUCGGCAGCACCUAUACUAAAAUUGGGACGAUACAGAGAAGGUUAGCAUGGCCCAGAAAGGAGGAAAACUUCCCUCAGUGAAGUCAGUGAAGCCACAUUUAG